rnacentral:rRNA from 1 species
UACGUAGGGUGCGAGCGUUAAUCGGAAUUACUGGCGUAAAGCGUGCGCAGGCGGUUUUGUAAGCCAGAUGUGAAAUCCCCGGGCUUAACCUGGGAAUGGCAUUUGGGACUGCAAGGCUUGAGUGCGGCAGAGGAGACUGGAAUUCCUGGUGUAGCAGUGAAAUGCGUAGAUAUCAGGAGGAACACCGAUGGCGAAGGCAGGUCUCUGGGCUGACACUGACGCUCAUGCACGAAAGCGUGGGGAGCAAACAGG